rnacentral:rRNA from 1 species
GACGAACGCUGGCGGCAGGCCUAACACAUGCAAGUCGAGCGAGGACUUCGGUCCUAGCGGCGGACGGGUGAGUAACGCGUGGGAACGUGCCCUUUGCUUCGGAAUAGCCCUGGGAAACUGGGAGUAAUACCGGAUGAGCCCUUUGGGGGAAAGAUUUAUCGGCGAAGGAUCGGCCCGCGUUGGAUUAGGUAGUUGGUGGGGUAAUGGCCUACCAAGCCGACGAUCCAUAGCUGGUUUGAGAGGAUGAUCAGCCACACUGGGACUGAGACACGGCCCAGACUCCUACGGGAGGCAGCAGUGGGGAAUCUUAGACAAUGGGGGAAACCCUGAUCUAGCCAUGCCGCGUGAACGAUGAAGGCCUUAGGGUUGUAAAGCUCUUUCAGCUGGGAAGAUAAUGACGGUACCAGCAGAAGAAGCCCCGGCUAACUCCGUG